CCCCCCCAAAAACCAAACUUAAACAGAGUAACAGAAAAGCUCGAUCAGGCCAGAAAAAAAUAAUUGUAAUGUAUCCCUGUACUACAAUCCUUCUCAUGAGUAAAAACAAACUCCAAAUUGUUGUUGUAUAUAUUGUUGUUGCAUGCUUACCAUAUGUUAGAUGGAAGCAUUUCCUAUCCAGUGUGGAUAAAAGAACAUUUUUCAAGUUGUAGUAAAUUAUUAUAAAGCCAAUGAUAUUUCAUGGCAUGUUAUUGUAUCAAGCUGUGCUUGUUGUAUUUUUGUUCUUUAUGUUUGUAUUGCUUUUUAUAAAUGUACAAAUAUUUCCUGUAGUGACGAGUACCUGCUUUACAUAGCAUUAAUUGAACUACAAGGACGAUGGGCUAUAUACACUCCUCGAUCCAUUGAAUGGGAGUUAUGCACAUGGAUCUAGGGUAGUGUGUAGCCAUACUGCAGUGGGUGUGUAUAGAAACACCUAGUGAUAAGCAAAUGCCUAUUUUUUAUUAACUGAACACAGAAUCAUUAACUGGUUAUUGACCAGUUAUUUACUAGACAUUGUACAUGCAGGUUAUUAACUGGACAUAGAAUCAGAGUGCCCACGGGUAAUCUAAGUUACUUGUUUUCAGUAGACCCUGACCAUGUAAAAUGUACUCAGCAAAACCAGAGCAGAUGUUGGCUAGCAGAAUUUACCUCCAGUAUCGUAUUUAAAAUCAACCUAUGGGUGUACAAUUAUGCAGGUUUGGAGCCUGGUGCCACUGAAGUCAAUGGGAGUUCUGCAAUUGACUUCAACAGGCACAGGACCACGGCCACAUUUUCUGGGGCUGCAGUAGGUGCAUGUACUAAAUUGAAAGGGACACGGCACAAACACCAACCUUUGUGCAUGUAUGCAGAGGCCCAUUUGUGUGUUCUGAAAAGGCUUUCAGCAGGUGCAAAACAUCUAGGUGCACGGUUCUUUGCAGACGUGCUCCUGCAAAUGUGUGGCCCUAAGUUUCCGAAGAGAUGGUCCUAAAGCUCUAAAAUGAAUUUUCCCAAAGAGGAGAAGAUUUCUGAUAGCAGAUGGGUCUUUAAUCUGUAGCAACCUGCAUGAAACUUGGAGGCAGGAGCACAGAUUGGAGGAGGGAAGCGUUCAGAGAAGGCUUCAGGAAGUCAGCCUGUGUGCACGUGGCUGGAAUGCUAGCUGCAGUUUCAGCAUCUCUGUAAAUAGUUCUCUUAAUAAAGGGCCAGUUUAGGUUUACAAGCAUGGAGUCCUUUUAUGUAUUAACCAGCAUGUAGUACACGAAACAUAAUCUGGCAGACAAAAGCGUAACAAAAUCCAGUGGCAGGAAACUGAGGCUAGACAAAUUCAGACUAGAAAUAAGGCACACAUUUUUAACAGUGAGGGUAAUUAACCAUUAGAACAGUUUACUUGGGCAUAUGAUGGAUUCUCCAUCACUAGAAGAUGGGAUGUCGUUCUUAAAGUUAUGCUUUAGCUCAACCAGAAAUGAUGGGCUUGAUGCAGAAGUGACCAAGUGAAAUUCUGCUGCCUGUUUUAGGCAGGAGGUCAGACUAGAUGAUUGGAAAGGUCCCCUUCUGACCUUAGAACCUGUGAAUUUAUGAAAGAUCAGGUCCUAGGGAACCAGGCGGGUAGCUGCACUCAUCUCUAAAUUUCAUUGUAUUGCAUUAAUAUGAAGAGAGAAAAGGAAAUACCUAAGGGAGCAAAGCCACCUUUGCCAAAGCCAGAAUCUGAAUGGAAAUUAAGACCAAAAGGACAUAUCUUCAACUGAGUGGGACUAUGGUGAUUGAGGUCAGCUGAGGGUUGGGCCCAAAACCCAUCAAACUUGCGUGCUUAAAGUUAGGCUCCUACGUUCAUAUUUGGGUACCUUGGCAGAAGUGAGCUGAGUUUCCAAGGUGCUGAGCCCCCACCAACCUCACUGAAAUCCAGGGGAGUCACAAGUGCAGGGCACUUUUGAAAAAAAAAAAGAAACCGGACUCCUUUUGUUGAGGUGCCUAACUAUGGAGUUAGGGGCCUAGCAGAGAAAGGUGGCUGGAAGGGGAAGCUGGAGAAAUUCAGACUGACAAUAAGGUGGGAAUUCAUAAUGAUGAGAGUAAUUAACAGGGAGGGUAAUUAACCAGCGGAACAAUUGAACCAGGAUUAAGGUGGAUUCUCCAUCAUUGGCCAUUUUUAAAUCAAGGUUGGAUGUUUCUGUAAAAAAUCUGCUGUAGGAACUAUUUUGGGGAAGUUUUCUGGCUUGUGCGAUACAGGAGGUCAGACUAGAUGAUCACAGUGGUCCUUUAUGGCCUUGGAAUCUAUGAACUUGUCUACACUCGAAAUGCUACAGUGGCACUACUAACGCUGAUGGGAGGGGUUGUCCCAUCAGUAUAAGUAAUCCAACUCCCAGAGAGGAAGUAGCUAGGUUGAUGGAAGAAUUCUUCUGUCCACCUACCUCUGUCUGCACUGGGGUUAGGUUGAUUUAACUACAUUGCUCAAGGGUGUUGAUUUUCUACACCCCUGAGCGAUAUAGGUGGGUCAGCCUAACUUAGUAGUGUUGACAAGGCUUAUGAAACUUUAGGCAACCAGGUUUGACAAUGUUGGCCAUAAUUUCACAUCGCCUUCCAGUGACAAUUAAUGCUAUGCAAACGAGGUUGAAUGAACUGGUGUACUGUAUACAGACAUAUGGUACCCUAUGUAUCCCCUCCCGAUAGAACUUUCCUGUUGUACAUAUUACAAAGCUGUCAUUCCAAACUAGCCAUUUGAAGGCAAAUGUUCAUUACAGAACAAAAGGAAGGAGCUAAACGGUGAAACAUCUGCUCUGCAGUUUCAACAGGAAUUAGGGUUUCAUUUUUUGUAUUGUUUUUACCACUUGCACAUGCAGAAAUAUAGAAGUAAUAGAAUUGGUCUUGAUAGCAAUGAACAGCUCUGAGUGAUUUGCUCUGAAUAGGACACUCAGGCCUGGGACUUAUAUUAUUCUUUAUUCAUGUACAUUUUUUAUAUUCAAUGCUCUACAUCAAUCUGUGUCCAACAGCCUGAAAGAAAUCUGCAGUAGCAUUUGACGAGGAUUAAGAACAUUUCAAAAUGCUGAAAAGUUACAAGCUGCUGCUGGCUGUAAUUUGAAGCCUUUGUUCAAAUUAGCCUUGUGAUCUUCCAAAUUCUCCAGAUACUCCAUGUCGUGUCAAAACAUGUUCUGUCAUCAUUUAGAUGAUGGGGAGUUGGAAGGGAGGGGAGGGGGCUGUCUAGUUUCUUUGAGAACUCUAGCAGUGUUUGAGUCAAGAAUAUUGCUAAUAGCUGGGAAUGAUGCAGCAGUGGAAAGGAAACAUGCUUUAUUUUUUGAUAUUGACUUCAGUGUUGAUAUCCCAGGACUGGUUGGAAGAAGACAGUUAAGCCAGGUUUAAAUGAUGAUGUUCUACUCCCUGUGUUUGUUGCAUGUGUCAUUUGUUAAAUUCAGUCAUUACCCUUGCUGAUCUUGAGGUUAUUAUUAAAGAACUACACUAAUUCA